rnacentral:tRNA from 1 species
GAGCGCGUAGCUCAGCCGGUAGAGCANNCAACUGACUUUUAAUCAGUAGGUCCCGGGUUCGAGCCCCGGCGCGCUCACCA